rnacentral:tRNA from 1 species
ACCAACACUGGCAAGGAGCACGCCUGGAAAGUGUGUAUACGGCAACGUAUCGGGGGUUCGAAUCCCCCCCUCACCGCCA